rnacentral:rRNA from 1 species
CCUACGGGUGGCAGCAGUGAGGAAUAUUGGUCAAUGGACGCAAGUCUGAACCAGCCAUGCCGCGUGCAGGAAGACGGCUCUAUGAGUUGUAAACUGCUUUUGUACGAGGGUAAACGCAGGUACGUGUAUCUGUCUGAAAGUAUUUUACGAAUAAGGAUCGGCUAACUCCGUGCCAGCAGCCGCGGUAAUACGGAGGAUUCAAGCGUUAUCCGGAUUUAUUGGGUUUAAAGGGUGCGUAGGCGGUCUGAUAAGUUAGUGGUGAAAGCGUGAGGCUCAACUUCGGAAUUGCCUGUGAUACUGUCAGGCGAGAGAAUAGUUGCGGUAGGCGGAA